CAGUGCUCUGAAUCAUUUUGAUCAAAAGCAUGGUUUAAAUCCACAUCAUAUGCUUCCAUAACACCUACUUUACACUUAUUAGCUGUUUCUAAGCUUCUUCUAAAUGAAAUGGGGGCAACCAUAGUUUCUGACCAUGUCUUCCAGAAAUAGAUUCCUCAAAGAAAAAGAAAUAAUCCCAGAGGCCAAAAUUCUUUUUCAUGUUUUCUAUAUUACAGAAUCAAAAAGACCAUUGCUUUGGUGCAACACUCCCAUGUAAUCACUAGAUGCCAAUAGCCUGUGAGGUGUCUUACAUCGCCCUAACAUCCUGGGACAUGGUUGGUGGGCUCAAAGAACCAAUGGGAAGGAGAAUGGAGGAAAUGAUGGACAGGAACACUUCCCAAAAUGAGCCAAAUAAGACCCUAAAAGGACCAAAGGGAAAGUGGAUUGAAAAAUGAACCAAUCAUGGUGAACCAGAGGCUAUAAGAACUCUUGUGGGGUUUUGCCCCACAUCCCCCUCUCAUUACCUUUGCGUACGGGGAGCACCCAGCCUCUCGAGAGUGCUGAACCUUUCUGCUUUGUCACUGGGGUCCUGAGCCUAUCCUGGGUCCCCGCUUCCAGUUGUCAUUUGUGUUCUGUUUAAUAAAUCAGUUAAACCUG